GUGCAUGCAAAUUGGUUGCAUGGUUUUAGAGUGGUGAGCCGAUAGUUGCAGGUUGCAACACGCGGUUAUGCAAAUGGAUUGCCGGUUCAAGAUGCUCAAAAGUACGAAGUUGACGGUUGUUGCUAAACUUCAAAAAUCCCACAUCUUCGGAUACGCUGAGUGUGAGACUGAGAACAGCGCUAGGAUACGAAAGAAGCAAGUGGAUUGGCUCCAAACUGAUACUUUUUUAUCUCAUCUUAUAGAAGAUUGAAGAUAUAGAAUUUUGAAGAUAUAGAAUUUUGAAGACAUAGAAGAUUGAAGAUAUAGAAGAUUGAAGAUAU